GGCCUCCCAAUUCUUAUCACAGGCUGUGUAAAACACUGACUGUACAGACAGAGGAGAUACAGUAAAUGCACCCUCAUAUACACCUCAACCCAGGCCCUUUGCCUGGUUUGUAUUUUGAAUUGGGGGACAAAA